rnacentral:rRNA from 1 species
GUAAAGCGUUCGUAGGCGGUUUAGAAAGUUUGUAGUUAAAUAUGGUGGAAAAACGUUCAAGUCGUUACAAAAACUCCUAAACUAGAGAUUGGCAGAGGCAACUGGAAUUCCACAUGUAGGGGUAAAAUCCGUUGAUAUGUGGAGGAACACCAAAAGCGAAGGCAGGUUGCUGGGCCAUUUCUGACGUUGAGGAACGAAAGCGUGGGGAGCAAACAGGAUUAGAUACCCUGGUAGUCCACGCCGUAAACGAUGGAUACUCGAUGUAGGGAGGAAUCGACCCCUCUCUGUGUCCAAGCUAACGCGUUAAGUAUCCCGCCUGGGGAGUACGGUCGCAAGAUUAAAACUCAAAGGAAUAGACGGGGACCCACACAAGCGGUGGAGCAUGUGGUUUAAUUCGACACUAAACGGGGAACCUUACCAAGGCUUGACAUCUCCGGAAUCUCGAGGAAACUUGAGAGUGCCGUAAGGAACUGGAUGACAGGUGCUGCAUGGUCGUCGUCAGCUCGUGCCUUGAGGUGUUCGGUUAAGUCCGUAAACGAGCGCAACCCAUGUCUUAUGUUGCAUAUUUCAUAAGAGACUGCCGGCUCCAAGUCGGAGGAAGGUAUGGAUGACGUCAGAUCAGCAUGGCCCUUAUGCCUUGGGCCACACCUAAAAAAUAAGCUUUGGGGCCGCUAAUUCAAUGGGUUCCCCAUUG